rnacentral:lncRNA from 1 species
UGCCCUCCUUUCUCACACCCAAAGGUCUCAUACAAAAAACAUUUUUGUGUUAAGAAUGAUGUGGGUCUAAGGCAUGCGCAAGGGAGAGAGUCCCUACUGGCAGGGACACUUCGUUUCCAAUUUGAUUCGAAACCAAAUUAAAUUUGAUUUGAACCUAAUUAAAGAAACAAACCUAAUCUAAUUAAGAACACAAUCAACUUAAUAAAUUUCUAAUCCAAUUAAGAAUUAACUGAAUCCAAGUUCUG